CAGCCCAGCCCAGCCCAGCCCAGCCCUGCCCUGCCCAGCCCUGCCCUGCCCUGCCCUAUUCUGCCCUGCCCUGCCCUGCGCCGUCCCUUUGGGGUGUUCCCCGAGGACACAGAUUGAACGCUAUGGGCACGUGUAUUUUUGUAUGUCUUCGCAUUUUGGCAGGCAGUUUUCCUUACGGUCUGUGCAUUUGAGAGAAUGCACAGAACCCGUAACUGCUGUACAGCUGCUUGGCAGCUUUAUUCUUCUAAUUCCUGUGAGAUUUUCCUGCUGAACACUGUGUCUUCCGAAUAAAACAAGCAGCUCUGAGCAGUGGGAUGUCACCAAACCUACUGACUGGCAGCACCACACAAAGUAUUUGGUGGUAACCUCUGUGCAAGGCUGGAAUCAUGCAGUGUUUCUAGCUUCCCUGCCAAGUGGCUGAGCUCUUUGACAAAGAGUUCACUUAUGUCAGCUGUCCUUUCCAGUUCCAGUCACUUGGUUUGCAAGCAGAGCAUGAGGAUUUCUGGCUGACUGGUUUGGACAUACAGGCUGACCCUCAUCCUUGCACAGUCCAGAAAACUUUUGGAGAGAGCAUUUUGGCAGAAGCAAGAUUAGAUCUCACACGAUUCCUUCCAGUAUGUAAAUCUGAUGCCAGAACGUGACCUGUACUAUCGUCAUAAAAAAAUGUCAGUAAUGAUAAUAAAUAUCUGCUCAUAUCUUACCUGCUGUCACCUCCCCACUGAGACUGUUUGGCAAACAUUUCUGUUCUUUUAUUUUUUGUAGUAAUCUUAUGUGUAUUAUUAUAAUUAUUAAUAGUAUUUAUACAAUAGGUAUAAAUAAUCUGGCUUAUUUUUGUUCUUUAUUUAAGCAUUAAUUAAAAUGGCAUGCUCAUAGUGAGCCCAGUUGGCUCUCCCAAUAUCAAGGCAAUACAUUUCUUAUGGCUGAUCCCUUAUGAGUAAUUUCUUGGCUAAGUUGCCUUGAGUGAAGAUGUGCUGCCCACCCAGCUGAGGAGCUGGUCAUUAAAAUGGAAUAUGAGGCAAUGGCAUGGAGGUGAGACUAAUUUAGUUUUCCUUGCAGAAAUAUUUCUUUACUUAUGCAAAGCUUUUAUCAGAUUGCUGUCAAUUUAAUCCCCAUUCUUUCUCUGAAAUAGGGCUCAGUAAUACUGAAAGAGCUUGUGGCUGUUGUUUGCACAAAGGUGACUUUGACCCAGUAUGAAAAGGAGGAGUUGUGAGUCAGGAACUGAUCUUUAACAUGCAGCAAGGGCAUGUGCUUGUGAGAUUACAUGAUCUCCUUGGUUGUGCAAAAGGACUGAAGUGAUCACAGCUCCAUCUUGCCU
rnacentral:lncRNA from 1 species